ensembl:lncRNA
AGAGAAGUGGUCAUUUCAUGAGAAGUGUGCGUUACUGAGCAACAGACCACACACACACACACACACACGCUCAUAUCCACACUGAUGCACCCCCACACUCCUACCUGCGCCUCUCAACUUGUAUGUAACCCCUGCUCCUCUGACAAGCCUGUUACCUUUGACCGUGUGAAGGCAAUACAAGCGUUUAAACGAUCCUUGGUGUCCUCAUUGUCUCCUUCCUGAAUAUCCAUCCGGGCCUAGAGUAGUGUUCUGGCCGACACUCCGGGGAGUGGUGGCUGCAAACCCGAACCAACACCUUACAGUCCUCCCAUUCCGGGUUAUCUACCCAACAGACUGACAUUAACAUCAGCGCCGUGCUGCUAGUGUGGCUAAAAGAAAAGAGAAGAAGAGACAGUCAUGUUGAUAUGAACAUUAGAGAAACACAUCAUGGAGCUGAAAUAUGAUCCUACUUCCUCAUUUGGACUCAUUCACCUCAGCUGACACAUUCAACAGCAGACAGGUUUUUGUAGCAGUCUGUCUCACUGUGGGAGGAAACUACUACUUCAUCUUUGGCUCUGGAACUAAACUGUAUGUAACAGCACCACACAGACUCCACAUCGAUGCGAACAGCUCCCUGCUGUGUGUGCCCCCAUCCAUGUUUCCAUCUUUGGUCCAGCUGUCUUGUAAAACACAGAAGAAUGACCAGCUGGAGGACCUGCCGCCAGGUGGUGGAAAGCAUCUGGAGCUGAUCCAUGAACAAGAGAGCAGCACAUAUAAAUGCGACUGCUACAUCAAGGAUGUCCGCAACAACACAGUGGAGGCCCAAACACAACAAGUGUCCUUCCAGUCUCAGUGCAGGGUGAAGCUGCUCUGCCUGCUGUACACAGUGCUGAUAGUGAAGAGUCUGGUGUACUGCUGUGGACUCUCUCUGCUGAUGAUCCUCACAAACAAGGGAGCGUCCACCAACUGCACACAUGCUGACUGACUGUUUUCUGCUCGCCUUUUCUCACCAUCAAAUCUCAUCAAUUCAUCUCAUUCAUCA